CACCGUCGCACUGCGGGGGAGGGUACGCCUGCGCUGUUGUGCGUGCAGGGGCGUGGUGGUGCGCCAUCGUGUGUGUUUGGUAGGUGGGGUAAGCCGUGGAGCGUGCUGGGGGCGGCGUACGCGGUCUGGAGUGCGCGGAUAGUCUAACAGCAACUGCAGUUUAUGAGGUUGGCUGCCCUGCUGGAGGACAACUUGGAACACAAGUUAUGCAUCAAGCAACCAGUAUGUCAAGAACCGAGAAGAAAUAAUGUUCCACAAGGGUAGGCACAGCAGGAAGAAAACUAAAUUAAUUUCAAUUGCUGCCAGAGGAAAAAAAAGACAUUUAUUUCAGCGACUGAUACCAAAUACUGACUGUUACGAGACUGAGCACAAGAGCAAGUGACUUCAAGUUAAACCUGACCAAAUUGAUUAAUAGAAACCACCAAGUAAUUGCCUGUAAUAACAGCUGCCUGAAAGGCACUGGAAUGUUUGUAAGGAAGUCUCAAUUCCACCCAGCCCAAGCAUUUAAUAGAACCUGAAAACAAAGAGUUUGUGACUAUA